AAUAUCUAGUUUUUCUAAGUAAUUUUUUUCUAGAAUUUACUCUUAACUUUCUUCUAAAGAUUCCUAUAUCAUUUAUUUUCCCAAUAUACUUUGAUUUGUCUUACUUAUAGUACUACAAAGUAAGUAGAAGUCACCUUUCUAAAAGGCAGCAUUCGUACCUUUUAAUUUUUCUACCCCUUUGGCUAUUAACUAUAUCUCUAAGAUAAUUUGUUCUAAUACUUUGAACUAAGAUCUCUUAAAUUAUGAUAAUGUCCACACUCUUUCACCUAUUAAUCAUGUUACAUCACGACACCGCUUUAUACUCAUGACCUUGUAUCCACUGACUAUCUUGUUAGAUUAACCCAAAAAUUUUCAUUCACUCCGCAUAUUCAAUCCUAUAGACACCCUUUUAAUUUUUCAAUCACAGAAGUAACUUCGAUUUCACAAAACAGUCAAGAGUAAUCACAUCCACUUUAUUAAAAUCCCAAUUCACUAAUACAACACUAACUUUUAGUAACGAUUGCCUCAGUCUUUCCAAAAUCCAAUGAAGAAAAGAAAAUCCCAAUUUUCUAUCUUUUUUCCCCCCCAAA
rnacentral:lncRNA from 1 species